CUGACCUGCUCACUGAUAAAGUUUUAAAGAGCCGCGGUAUUUUGACCGUGCAAAGGUAGCAUAAUCAUUAGUUUCUUAAUUAGGGGCUUGAAUGAACGGUUUGACGAGAAAUCAUCUGUCUCUUAUUAAAUUAUAUAAUUUAACUUUUGAGUUAAAAGGCUUAAAUUUUUCUUUAAGACGAGAAGACCCUAUAGAGCUUAACAUUUUAUUUUUAUAUAAUUUAUAGUUUGUUUUUUUAUAUUUUAAGAUAAUGUUUUGUUGGGGUGACAUGAAGAAUAAAUAAACUCUUCAUUAUUAAAUCAUUAAUUUAUGUUUAUUAUGAUCCAUAAUUUAUGAUCAUAAGAUUUAGUUACCUUAGGGAUAACAGCGUAAUUGUUUUUGAGAGCUCAUAUUGACAAAAUAGAUUGCGACCUCGAUGUUGGAUUAAGAAUAAUUUUGGGUGCAGGAGCCCAUUAAUUAGGUCUGU
rnacentral:rRNA from 1 species